GGGCACCUACGGGGCGCAGCAGUGAGGAAUAUUGGUCAAUGGGCGUAAGCCUGAACCAGCCAAGUCGCGUGAGGGAUGAAGGUUCUAUGGAUCGUAAACCUCUUUUAUAAGGGAAUAAAGGGUGGGACGUGUCCUGUUUUGUAUGUACCUUAUGAAUAAGGAUCGGCUAACUCCGUGCCAGCAGCCGCGGUAAUACGGAGGAUCCGAGCGUUAUCCGGAUUUAUUGGGUUUAAAGGUUGCGUAGGCG
rnacentral:rRNA from 1 species